rnacentral:rRNA from 1 species
GCUGCAUGGCUGUCGUCAGCUCGUGUCGUGAGAUGUUGGGUUAAGUCCCGCAACGAGCGCAACCCUUGCCAUUAGUUGCUACAUUUAGUUGGGCACUCUAAUGAGACUGCCGGUGACAAACCGGAGGAAGGUGGGGAUGACGUCAAGUCCUCAUGGCCCUUAUAGGUGGGGCUACACACGUCAUACAAUGGCUGGUACAGAGGGUUGCCAACCCGCGAGGGGGAGCUAAUCCCAUAAAACCAGUCGUAGUCCGGAUCGCAGUCUGCAACUCGACUGCGUGAAGUCGGAAUCGCUAGUAAUCGCGGAUCAGCAUGCCGCGGUGAAUACGUUCACGGGUCUUGUACAACACG